GACGAACGCUGGCGGCGUGCUUAACACAUGCAAGUCGAACGGAGUGGCGAACGGGUGAGUAACACGUGGGUGACCUGCCCUGCACUUCGGGAUAAGCCUGGGAAACUGGGUCUAAUACCGGAUAGUGUGGGAUGGGCCCGCGGCCUAUCAGCUUGUUGGCGGGGUAAUGGCCUACCAAGGCGGCGACGGGUAGCCGGCCUGGGAGGGUGGACGGCCACAUUGGGACUGGGACGCGACCCAGACUCCUACGGGGGGCAGGAGGGGGGAAUAGUGCACACUGGGCGGACGCAUGAUGGAGCGACGCCGCGUGGGGGAUGUCGGCCUUCGGGUUGUAAACUCGUUGCACCUUAGAGGCGGUAGAUGGAGAAGAAGCACCGGCUAACAACGUGCCAGCAGCCGCGGUAAUU
rnacentral:rRNA from 1 species